rnacentral:lncRNA from 1 species
UGGAAGAUGGUUCCGAAUCAACUGGAUAGGAUUUUUAAUUUCCGAAGGCACGAGCUCCCCUGGCAUCCGCAAAUGUGACCCGCAAUUUAGAGAGGAAGAGGAGCGCAGACCCUACCUGUCCAGAGUGACUGUCAGGAGGGAGGUGGGGAAGGGCUGGGCCCCUCUCGGUGUCCCGGGUUCCCGGCAGAAGUCUCCAGGGCUGUGGGAGUCUGCAGACACGGAGUUUCCGCGCCAGAGGAGCGGGUCCACGCGGACAGGCAGUUCCAGCUCCGGGACAUACUUUAUUCAGCUGGGUGCUGAAAAACAAUCUUGGAAAUUAGGAAACUGAAUGAGGCCUCAUUUCACACUCAGAAUGUGGGUUGCAGUAGUCACUUCCUCUGCUGCUGGGAAAGAAAGAAUUAUACUACCUUUUGAAUUUUGGAUUAAGGAGACAGGUGUUGGCUUGUCAAACUACCGUGUAUUCCUCAAGACAUAUUUUUGUGGCUUUAUAAAAUUCAAUAUAUAUUUCUAAAUUCAAAUAUAUUUUGUUGCAAUCUGGCCCUUGGACAAAAUGAGGCCCUGGCAACUGAUAUUUAUGGCUUCCCAUAGAACCUUUCAGAUAAAAUUUACACAGCAUUUUACUGCAGCUAUUUCACAUAAAGCAGAGGAUUUUGCCACAAAACUGAAAGAAAAAAGAAACUGCAUUCUUAAAUUUUUUAUAAAUCAAAAGGUAUAAAAAUAUCUACCUAAACGAUAAAGGAGAUGAGAAACCCACCCGUGAUGGGAAGAAAGCCUAUUUCAGUUUUGCCUUUACUUCAAGUUCUUUUUUCCCUAUCUGGAAUGCAAUCGGAAUUUUAAUCUUGCCUUGGGUUCCUCCUGGAUUUGGGGAGAAGAAAAAAUCUGAAAAUCUCAAAUCUGCAUGUGUUCCGCUGCAUAUCUUCCAGAUACGGAAGGAUCACACUGCACAGAGUGCUGUACUUGCAGGAGCCCCGCUUCUCAACCUCCAUUGCUUUAUGAAUGAAUUCACCGGAAAGAUAGCUGGCCAUUUGUACAAGGGUAAAUAAACCAACUAAACGUGACAUUGGAUUUUUCCGAGAUUCUUUAUUAAUGGUGCUUCUGCAUCGCUUUACCUUUUCAAAUAUAAGUUACAGCAGAUAUUCUUCUGAGAAUGAUCUCCUAAGGCAUGGCUUCCUCUUUGCAUUUUUAUCUGGACCCUGUCCCAUCUAUAGGGUCACAUUUUUUAUUAGAAAUGUUGCUGAAGAUCCCCUCAAAAUAACAAAUAUUAUCAACUAGUCGAUGCUGAAUCCGACUUCUCCCUUUCUACAUUGCCUGAGAGAAGUCUUGGGGAAUACUCUGUACACGAAUUUUCACUGUUGGGGAAAACGGAGAGUCAAGGGAUUGGAUUGUGGAUUGCAUUGGUGGUUUUCCUCAGUUUCCUCAUCUUCUCCCCAAGUUUCUACAUAUUGAAUGCAGAGCAGCCCUUCUUCAAAGGACCUCCUACUGAACCUGCUAAGGAACUCAGUCUGUAGCUCUGCGUGGAGCCAUGUGUAAACACUGAACUGAGGCCUGCCACCUCCUACUACCUAAGGGCCCCUUUUCAUCUGAGAUCAUCCCCCAGAAACAAACUCAUGCUGACUUUCAUGUUUUUUUAGAUUACAUACAUGGAGAAUUUUCCUUUCCCUUAGAAUUAAAAUCCUGCAUUCUAA